rnacentral:rRNA from 1 species
AUACGGAGGGUGCAAGCGUUAAUCGGAAUUACUGGGCGUAAAGCGUACGUAGGCGGUCCGUUAAGUUAGAUGUGAAAGCCCCGGGCUUAACCUGGGAACUGCAUUUAAAACUGGCGGACUAGAGUUGAGUAGAGGGGAGUGGAAUUUCAGGUGUAGCGGUGAAAUGCGUAGAGAUCUGAAGGAACACCAGUGGCGAAGGCGACUCCCUGGACUCGAACUGACGCUGAGGUACGAAAGCGUGGGUAACAAACGGGAUUAGAAACCCCGGUAGUCC